rnacentral:rRNA from 1 species
GAUGAACGCUAGCGGGAGGCUUAAUACAUGCAAGUCGAGCGAGAAGGUUUUUAGCUUGCUAAGAACUGGACAGCGGCGCACGGGUGAGUAACGCGUACGCAAUCUACCUUAUACAGGAGAAUAGCCCCGGGAAACUGGGAUUAAUGCUCCAUGGCAUUUAGAAGUGGCAUCACUUUUAAAUUAAAGAUCCGUCGGUAUAAGAUGAGCGUGCGUAUUAUUAGCUUGUUGGUGAGGUAACGGCUCACCAAGGCUACGAUAAUUAGGGGGCGUGAGAGCGUGACCCCCCACACGGGUACUGAGACACGGACCCGACUCCUACGGGAGGCAGCAGUAAGGAAUAUUGGACAAUGGGCGCAAGCCUGAUCCAGCCAUCCCGCGUGGAGGAUGACGGCCCUAGUGGUUGUAAACUCCUUUUAUAUGAGAAGAAACCCUUUCAUUUAUGAGAGGCUGACGGUAUCUUAUGAAUAAGCACCGGCUAACUCCG